rnacentral:rRNA from 1 species
GACGUAGGGCGCGAGCGUUGUCCGGAUUUAUUGGGCGUAAAGAGCUCGUAGGCGGCUUGUCGCGUCGAAUGUGAAAUCCUGCGGCUCAACUGCAGGCUUGCAUUCGAUACGGGCAGGCUCGAGUUCGGUAGGGGAGACUGGAAUUCCUGGUGUAGCGGUGAAAUGCGCAGAAAUCAGGAGGAACACCGGUGGCGAAGGCGGGUCUCUGGGCCGAUACUGACGCUGAGGAGCGAAAGCGUGGGGAGCGAACAGG